GCUCUAUAUGUGUGUGUCAUAAUACAUCCCUCUGAGUCCUGGAGAGUAGAGAAGAGCAUCUCCCACCGUUGUGCCUGUCCCCACAAACCAUGUUCCCUGCAUCUCUGAUGCUGCUGCUGGCAGCUGUUGUCUGUGUUAUGAGUUAUGAACUCACUCAGCCAGCCUCCAUGACUGUCCAGCCAGGUCAACCACUGAUCAUCUCCUGUAAGGUCUCAUAUUCAGUAGUAGCUUGCAUACAGCUUAGAUUCGACAGCCUGCAGGGAAAAACCUGGAGUGGAUUGGAUAUAACUAAAGUGGUGGAAGCAUAGCUUAUAAUUAUGAACUGAAAAACAAGUUCAGCACCACCAGCAGCACUUCCAGCAACAUGCUGUUUUAAAAGGACAGAAUCUGCAUACUGAAGCUAUCUAUUAUUGUGCUCGCCUCCACAGUGAUACAAACCAGCACCAGACCUGUACUAAAACUCACUGCUCCAUGAACAGUUAAAGUUAUAUACUGUAAAUAUACAGUAUCUACCAGAUGGGGGUGAUCUAAGUCUGAUUGUAAACUCAAACCUCCCUUGAUCUAAUGACUCUACAAUAUUUGCAACAUAAAGGUUGGUCAUGAAACAACACAGGUUAAUCAUGUGAUAUAAAACACAGAACAUCAAUCUCCACUAUAUUAUCAUAACCUCAUAAACUGUCACAUCGGAAACCAUUUUAAUAAAGGUGAUCAUCAGAAUACACAUGAUUACUCGUAUCAUCAAAGUCUAUAAACAUAUUCUUACAUAUACCCACAUAAAAGGUAUAUAUAGUAAAAUAUGUUUUCCUUGAAUAGAUACAGUAUUUCAUUUCUACUGUUUUAGUGUCUCCCUGCCUGGUCUCCCUAUAUGCCCCUCAACCCCACUCUGGGAAUAGACGGCACAAGACCCAUAGACUCCACGGCUCUGACCAGCAAUGGUAUAAACCUGCAGGACCAAAGUCUUUUCACCAGUACCUCAAAAUGGUUGAAGAAGUAGUAUAUUGGGGGGUCGUAUAGGCAAGGAUGUCUGAGCUGGCUGAGGUGAUUGAUCUCACAACCGAUGCAUUUUUCUCGUAUAUACUCUCCAAUCACCACGUGUAAAAGUGUGGCUACAGAGGCCUUGAUGGUGUCCACAAAAAUAGUACUGACCACCCCAUCAAACACGUCCUCAGGCUGUGUACAUGUAGGGGGUGUCGCGGGUCUUGCCAGGGGGGAGUAGAAUGUUGGGCUGCGAGGCAUAGAGUCCUUAGGGUCUGGCCCCCAUGACGUUUCGAAGUCCGGGUAUGUGGUAGGAAUAUCCAUGGCAUAUGCGUAAGUGAAGAACUGUAGGUUUUAAGGACCCUUCUUUUAUUGUUGAACCAGUCCUCUGGGUAUCAGGGCGUGGUUAACGCAGCCGCG
rnacentral:lncRNA from 13 species